rnacentral:rRNA from 1 species
UACGAAGGGGGCGAGCGUUGUUCGGAUUUACUGGGCGUAAAGCGCGCGUAGGCGGAUCGCUAAGUCAGGGGUGAAAUCCCAGGGCUCAACCCUGGAACUGCCUUUGAUACUGACGAUCUGGAGAUCGGGAGAGGUUGGUGGAAUUCCGAGUGUAGAGGUGAAAUUCGUAGAUAUUCGGAGGAACACCAGAAGCGAAGGCGGCCAACUGGCCCGAUACUGACGCUGAGGCGCGAAAGCGUGGGGAGCAAACAGG